UGGGUUUAAAGGGUGCGUAGGCGGAAUGAUAAGUCAGUGGUGAAAUCCUGCAGCUUAACUGCAGAACUGCCUCUGAUACUGUCAAUCUUGAGUACAUUUGAUGUGGGCGGAAUGUGUCAUGUAGCGGUGAAAUGCAUAGAUAUGACACAGAACACCGAUUGCGAAGGCAGCUCACAAAACUGUAACUGACGCUGAGGCACGAA
rnacentral:rRNA from 1 species